rnacentral:rRNA from 1 species
UGGAAACGGUAGCUAAUACCGCAUAACGUCGCAAGACCAAAAAGGGGGACCUUCGGGCCUCUUGCCAUCGGAUGUGCCCAGAUGGGAUUAGCUAGUAGGUGGGGUAACGGCUCACCUAGGCGACGAUCCCUAGCUGGUCUGAGAGGAUGACCAGCCACACUGGAACUGAGACACGGUCCAGACUCCUACGGGAGGCAGCAGUGGGGAAUAUUGCACAAUGGGCGCAAGCCUGAUGCAGCCAUGCCGCGUGUAUGAAGAAGGCCUUCGGGUUGUAAAGUACUUUCAGCGGGGAGGAAGGGAGUAAAGUUAAUACCUUUGCUCAUUGACGUUACCCGCAGAAGAAGCACCGGCUAACUCCGUGCCAGCAGCCGCGGUAAUACGGAGGGUGCAAGUGUUAAUCGGAAUUACUGGGCGUAAAGCGCACGCAGGCGGUUUGUUAAGUCAGAUGUGAAAUCCCCGGGCUCAACCUGGGAACUGCAUCUGAUACUGGCAAGCUUGAGUCUCGUAGAGGGGGGUAGAAUUCCAGGUGUAGCGGUGAAAUGCGUAGAGAUCUGGAGGAAUACCGGUGGCGAAGGCGGCCCCCUGGACGAAGACUGACGCUCAGGUGCGAAAGCGUGGGGAGCAAACAGGAUUAGAUACCCUGGUAGUCCACGCCGUAAACGAUGUCGCCUUGGAGGUUG